UACGUAGGGUGCAAGCGUUAAUCGGAAUUACUGGGCGUAAAGCGUGCGCAGGCUGUUUUGUAAGUCAGAUGUGAAAUCCCCGGGCUCAACCUGGGAACUGCGUUCGAAACUGCAAGGCUAGAGUGUGUCAGAGGGGGGUAGAAUUCCACGUGUAGCAGUGAAAUGCGUAGAGAUGUGGAGGAAUACCAAUGGCGAAGGCAGCCCCCUGGGAUAACACUGACGCUCAUGCACGAAAGGCGUGGGGAGCAAACAGG
rnacentral:rRNA from 1 species